rnacentral:rRNA from 1 species
AGCGAACGCUGGCGGCAGGCCUAACACAUGCAAGUCGAACGAAGUCUUCGGACUUAGUUGCGGACGGGUGAGUCACACGUGGGAACGUGCUUUUAGAUUCGGAAUAACUCAGGGAAACUUGUGCUAAUACCGAAUGUGCCCUUCGGGGGACAGAUUUAUCGCCUUUAGAGCGGCCUGCGUUUGAUUAGCUAUUUGGUGAGGUAAAGGCUCACCAAGGCUACGAUCAGUAGCUGGUCUGGGAGGUUGACCGGCCACAUGGGGAAUGAGACACGGCCCAAACUCCAACAGGGGGCAGCAGUGGGUAAUAUUGGACAAUGGGCUCAAGCCUGGUCCAGCCAUGCCGCGUGAGUGAUUAAGGCCUUAGGGUUGUAUAGCUCUUUCACCGAUGAAGAUAAUGACGGUAGUCUGAGAAUAAGCCCCGGCUAACUUCGUGCCAGCCGCCGCCGUAACAC